CAGUAGCCGCGGUAAUACGAAGGGUGCAAGCGUUAAUCGGAAUUACUGGGCGUAAAGCGUGCGUAGGCGGUGAGUUAAGUCUGCUGUGAAAUCCCCGGGCUCAACCUGGGAAUGGCAGUGGAUACUGGCUCGCUAGAGUGUGUCAGAGGAUGGUGGAAUUCCCGGUGUAGCGGUGAAAUGCGUAGAGAUGUGGAGGAACACCGAUGGCGAAGGCAGCCCCCUGGGCCAAUACUGACGCUCAUGCACGAAAGCGUGGGAAGCAAACAGGAUUAGAUACCCCAGUAGUCCCUGUCUCUUAUAA
rnacentral:rRNA from 1 species